rnacentral:lncRNA from 1 species
AAUCACAUUCUUCUUCUUGCGAUAAGCUAUCUUCAUCUUCCUCAUUACUAUGUCGUUUCAAACUCGGCAUUGUCUUCAAUCCCUUUGAUUAUCAUUGCUUUGAUGCGUAGACACUAAAAAGAAGCCCCUUCUGAAACCCUGAUCUCGCCUCAAAAAUUAUGGACUCUGUAUCAUGCUUUGAUUAAACUAACAAAUCCACCUUCCGAGAUUGACCCACCAUCGCAGAUCGCAUACAAUUGCAGAGGAAUUGAUCUUCUU